AGUCCUUGGGAGUUGGGGCAGUAAUCCAGGCACAAACCCUUUUUCUGAGGUUUCAGGAUGGUCUUCCUUGUGGUGUCUGUCCACGCCUUGCUGCUCCUGCUGCUGAGCUUUCACUCAGAGGCUGUAGAAGAAUUAAGGGCACGACCCUACAGCACUGUUACCUUACCCUGUUAUUUCUCCUUCGUGGAUGGCACAGAUGACCUUUCCUUCUCUUGGGAGAAGGAGGAUAUCAAGGAGGAAUAUGAGGUGGAAGAUGAUCAGGAAUAUUAUCAAUAUUUUUUAACACUGCAUGAUUUCUAUGAGUUUUCUUCGAAGGUGGUUUACAGUUUUAGCAACAACCAGGAGCAGUUGGAAGAGCAAAGCUCCCAAUACGAGGGGAGAGUCCAGGUAGACUGGAAGGCCAUUUCCCAGGGGAGUCUUUCACUCUUAUUGGAACAUGUGAAUUUUCCUGACCAGGCAAUAUACAAAUGCACAGCUACCAGCUUAAAGGGAAGGGGAGAAAGGAUAAUCAAGCUCCUCGUGGAUGAUGCUGAAGAGCCCCAGGUGCAGUUCAGCACAAACAAUGAUAAAAUUGUGGUCCAGUGUAUCUCUGAGGGAUGGUAUCACAUGCCCAAAGUGACAUGGCACAACCGAAAGGAGGAGGAUCUGACCAGCUACUCUACAGUGGAAAUCCUGGAGGAGAAGAAGGACGGUGCUCACCGAGUGUUGUCCAUUCUGAAAUACCCUGUAAAACUCCAUGAGAUCUACAUCUGCCACAUUAAAGAGGAGGAUGAGCUUAAUCGGCCAGUUAGAUCCAUCCACAAGAUCCCAAAGAGGAGAUACAGUCACAUGUAUGACCACUACUAGAAACCUGCCUGGAGAGAAGUGUCAUCUGCAAAUAGGAGCCACCAUGGCUUUACAUUACACCUGUCUGUCUAAGGAGCAGGGAAAUGAGACAGUCAGGCUUAGCCACCCUUAUGAAAAAGGCAUAAACAGCUCUUGGUGAAGCAUUCUCACUCUACGCCAACUUCAACUCCAUACUACAGGAUUACACACACAAGACAAUGUAGAGUUAAGGGUGCUGGUGCUUGACAGUGCUUUGUGCUACUCAUGUCUGGCUUGAUCUUCCUGGCCAUUCUAGUGAAGAGAGGUCAGACCAACUGAAGGAGAAGGCAUCUGUUCUCCAGUAUUGUUUCAACCAGGGCUGGGAGCAGAAGAGAUCCGAAUUUUUUUUCCUUGUUGGAGGCAAAACAAGUGCAUUUAGAAAAUGCCCCUUUAGAGGGACAUUAAGCAAAGGAUCUUGUUGUUCAGAUCCCCCUCCUCUGAGAUCAACAGUUUGUAAAUUGAUCUUAUCCUUUAACAUAAGCUAAUGCAAUGGAGAGACAUUUCCUCUCUAUCCAUGGAGAAUUCUAGAUGCUUCCUCUCACCUGCAACGAGGAGAGGAGAGUCCUGCCUGGCCUGUUGACAUAGACCACUGCCAUCUUGUCAUCAGUGGUGGUUAAGAGAGGGGAGAGGUGUCUCAGGACAUUAGUAAUGGCACUGAUCUCCAGCCAGCUGAUGCUCCUCCUAGAUUCGGCUGAAGAUCAUUUGCUACGCUAUGAGUGUGGCAGCAUGAAGGCUGAUACAGGUGUCUAUGACAAUCCUUGUCACUGCUGGAUCUGAAAGAGGUUUUCCUUGAGUUUUGUAUAUCGUGCUACCACAGCACUGAUGACGCAAGAUACAGUGAACUACAAGUGGAAUCCUCACUGUGAUUCUCCACAGAGAAAAUGAGAACCUGGAGAGGCUGUGUGUAGAGAAAGAUCCACUGGACUGUGCUAGACACAUCAGAUCAAGCAGGCAGAAUGCUCCUCCAAGUGGUUGUCUGUGAGUUAUGAAUAAGAGGAUCUACAUCCUUUAUUCUUAGAAUGCAGAAUCUGGCCCCCAAAUGCUGGAGAUCCUGAGAAGUGUUGGGGAGCUCUUUUCCAGGUUAAAGACAAAGCUGUGCCUCUGCAGAGCCUGAAUUACCCAACUGGGCACCUCAGAUGGCUUCUGCUGGCACUGGACUGGAUGAGAAUUACAUUUACUGCUAUACAGAUGACAAUCUCCUCCUCCCUGAGGGAGGUAAUCAGGGCUAUCAAAAUCUUGGAGAAAAGCUGAGAGGCCAAAGAGGGGGACAAAAAGAGGAUCAUGUAUUGUAAAUGAUAACUCUCCAGAGUGAAGCACAAAUACUGACAGGCAGAUGGAAGGAGACAUGCUGGUAUAUCUCUUUUAAGCCUAUGGAACACAGAGGUAACCGUAGCAAAGGAUUCAAGAGACCAGAGUUUUCCUUCCUGCAUUACUUAUUUUAAGGCUACAGGAGCAGUUCAGAUAAUAUCUACUCACCUCCUUGAGGUAGCGCAUCAGACGACAGAGUGUGUUCACCAGUGACACGGUGAACCCUGUGAGGCC